rnacentral:rRNA from 1 species
AGUGAACGCUGGCGGUAGGCCUAACACAUGCAAGUCGAACGGCAGCACAGUAAGAGCUUGCUCUUACGGGUGGCGAGUGGCGGACGUGUGAGGAAUGCAUCGGAAUCUACUUUUUCGUGGAGGAUAACGUAGGGAAACUUACGCUAAUACCGCAUACGACCUACGGGUGAAAGCAGGGGAUCUUCUGACCUUGCGCGAUUGAAUGAGCCGAUGUCGGAUUAGCUAGUUGGCGGGGUAAAGGCCCACCUAGGCGACGAUCCGUAGCUGGUCUGAGUGGAUGGUCAGCCACACGAGAGCUGGGACGCCGUCCAGACGCCUACGGGAGGGAGCAGUGGGGAAUAGUGGACAAUGGGCGCAAACCUGAUCCAGCCAUACCGAGUGGGUGACGACGACCCUCGGGUUGUAAAGACGGUUUGUUGGUAAAGAACAGCAUUCGGUUAAUACCCCGCUGUUCUGACGGUACCCAAAGAAUAAGCACCGGCUAACUUCGUG